GAUGAGCGCUGGUGGCGUGCCUAACACAUGCAAGUCGAGCGAUUCUCUUCGGAGAAGAGCGGCGGACGGGUGAGUAACGCGUGGGUAACCUGCCCUGUACACACGGAUAACAUACCGAAAGGUAUGCUAAUACGAGAUAACAUGCUUUUAUCGCAUGGUAGAAGUAUCAAAGCUUUUGCGGUACAGGAUGGACCCGCGUCUGAUUAGCUAGUUGGUGAGGUAACGGCUAACCAAGGCGACGCUCAGUAGCCGACCUGAGAGGGUGAUCGGCCACAUUGGAACUGAGACACGGUCCAAACUCCUACGGGAGGCAGCAGUGGGGAAUAUUGCACAAUGGGCGAAAGCCUGAUGCAGCAACGCCGCGUGAGCGAUGAAGGCCUUCGGGUCGUAAAGCUCUGUCCUCAAGGAAGAUAAUGACGGUACUUGAGGAGGAAGCCCCGGCUAACUACGUG
rnacentral:rRNA from 1 species